CAGCAGCCGCGGGAACACGAAGGGUGCAAGCGUUACUCGGAAUUACUGGGCGUAAAGCGUGCGUAGGUGGUGGUUUAAGUCCGUUGUGAAAGCCCUGGGCUCAACCUGGGAAUCGCAGUGGAUACUGGGUCACUAGAGUGUGGUAGAGGAUAGUGGAAUUUCCGGUGUAGCAGUGAAAUGCGUAGAGAUCGGAAGGAACAUCUGUGGCGAAGGCGACUAUCUGGGCCAACACUGACACUGAGGCACGAAAGCGUGGGGAGCAAACAGGAUUAGAUACCCCCGUAGUCCCUGUCUCUUAUAC
rnacentral:rRNA from 1 species